GGGGCUUGUAACCGUCACUUGCGUCUUGAGCAGUUAAAAGAUAGAACGGUCUAGUCAAGCGCCAUGUCUCUUAUUCUUGAUCAGCUAUAGCUCUGGAGUUUUUGUAGAUUUUCAAAAUAAAACUCAGAGAUUCCUUGUAUGACUCUCUCAAAUCUCUCUUUUGUGGUAUUUCUGGAUCCUUACCAAGGCAGUAAUGGUAUAUGCCUUCUCUCAAAGUAUGUGGUAUUUUUGGUAUGAGGCAUAGUGAUAUUGCCUUCUCUCUCACCCAACUCUAAUAAGGUUUUGAUAUCUGGAGCUCAUAGGUGGGAGACAGCUAAUACAUACUUACAAGACAUUUAAUGCAUAGUCAAACCAUGGAUCUAGAGAAACAAGUCAAUAAGUCAAAUCAAGAUGUGCAUGUGUGGCGAAUGAAUGGUUUAUGGUGAUGAUGGUGAUAAUGGUGAAAGCAAUGGUGAAAAUCAAAUUCUACGUUUGCUCUUUUAAGGGGAUACAUACCUUUCUUGCACUUUGAAGCUUUUUGAGGGGAAUGAGAUGCUCUAUAUUUUCUUUUUCUUUUCUCUCAGGUGGGUAUCUUGUACCCCUAAUUCUACUGUCGGACACUUGUCCAUUUUUACCUCUCGUCUCACUUUUUCUUUUCUUCGAUGUUUCGGGCACUUGUCCCUUUUUAUUUCCUUGUAUUCACUUUCUUUUUUUUCAGAGCACUCACCCUCCUGGAAUAAUGUAGCAAGUGGUAGUAACCAAAAUAUCUCGAGCAUUUAUUUCACGGGGAAUAACAGGGAUGGGAUAAUGUUUUUGGCUAUUCUCUCUCGGAUAGGAGUAGAAUAAUUUUAGGUGAAUCUGAAGAUGGAAAGGAGUGGAUGUAUGUGGAUGCGUACUUCCAGAGUAGAAGCAGCAUGUAUGAGUGAACGUGCAAGUGAAUCUUGAUUUUAACCGCAUGACAAGCUCCUAAGAGUCUACACAGCUUGACCACACUCAAUGCUCAUAAGCAGUAAAAAGUAAAUGUAUGGUUCA
rnacentral:lncRNA from 1 species